rnacentral:rRNA from 1 species
ACUCCUACGGGAGGCAGCAGUGGGGAAUUUUGGACAAUGGGGGCAACCCUGGUCCAGCAAUGCCGCGUGAGUGAAGAAGGCCUUCGGGUUGUAAAGCUCUUUUGUCAGGGAAGAAACGGUAGUAGCGAAUAACUAUUACUAAUGACGGUACCUGAAGAAUAAGCACCGGCUAACUACGUGCCAGCAGCCGCGGUAAUACGUAGGGUGCAAGCGUUAAUCGGAAUUACUGGGCGUAAAGCGUGCGCAGGCGGUUGUGUAAGUCAGAUGUGAAAUCCCCGGGCUCAACCUGGGAAUUGCAUUUGAGACUGCACGGCUAGAGUGUGUCAGAGGGGGGUAGAAUUCCACGUGUAGCAGUGAAAUGCGUAGAUAUGUGGAGGAAUACCGAUGGCGAAGGCAGCCCCCUGGGAUAACACUGACGCUCAUGCACGAAAGCGUGGGGAGCAAACAGGAUUAGAUACCCGAGUAGUCCCAUGA